GCGUGGCGCAAUGGUAGCGCAGUGGUUUUGUAAACCAUUUGUUGCGGGUUCGAAUCCUGUCGCU
rnacentral:tRNA from 1 species